rnacentral:rRNA from 1 species
GGAUUAGAUACCCUGGUAGUCCACGCUGUAAACGAUGGAUGCUAGACGUGGUGGGUCUUGACCCCUGCCGUGUCGAAGUUAACACGAUAAGCAUCCCGCCUGGGAAGUACGGUCGCAAGACUAAAACUCAAAGGAAUUGACGGGGGCCCGCACAAGCAGUGGAUCAUGUGGUUUAAUUCGAAGCAACGCGAAGAACCUUACCUGGGUUUGACAUCCUCUGAAUAAUUUAGAGAUAGAUUAGGCUCGCAAGAGACAGAGAGACAGGUGCUGCAUGGCUGUCGUCAGCUCGUGCCG